GACGAACGCUGGCGGCGUGCUUAACACAUGCAAGUCGAACGAUGAAGCUAGAGCUUGCUCUGGUGGAUUAGUGGCGAACGGGUGAGUAACACGUGAGUAACCUGCCCCGAACUCUGGGAUAACUGCUGGAAACGGUAGCUAAUACCGGAUAUGACCAAUGAAGGCAUCUUCUGUUGGUGGAAAGAAUUUCGGUUCGGGAUGGACUCGCGGCCUAUCAGCUUGUUGGUGAGGUAACGGCUCACCAAGGCGACGACGGGUAGCCGGCCUGAGAGGGUGAGCGGCCACACUGGGACUGAGACACGGCCCAGACGCCUACGGGAGGCAGCAGGGGGGAAUAUUGCACAAUGGGCGCAAGCCUGAUGCAGCAACGCCGCGUGAGGGACGACGGCCUUCGGGUUGUAAACCUCUUUUAGUAGGGAAGAAGCGAAAGUGACGGUACCUGCAGAAAAAGCACCGGCUAACUACGUGCCAGCCGCCGCAGUAA
rnacentral:rRNA from 1 species